rnacentral:lncRNA from 1 species
AAUUUGUCACGUGUGCCGAAUACAACAGGUGUAGUAGACCUUACAGUGAAAUGCUGAAUACAACAGGUGUAGUAGACCUUACAGUGAAAUGCUGAAUACAACAGGUGUAGUAGACCUUACAGUGAAAUGCUGAAUACAACAGGUGUAGUAGACCUCACAGUGAAAUGCUGAAUACAACAGGUGUAGUAGACCUCACAGUGAAAUGCUGAAUACAACAGGUGUAGUAGACCUCACAGUGAAAUGCUGAAUACAACAGGUGUAGUAGACCUCACAGUGAAAUGCUGAAUACAACAGGUGUAGUAGACCUUACAGUGAAAUGCUGAAUAGGUAGGGGUACCAGGUAGUAGAGGUAAUAUGUACAUGUAGGUAGGGGUACCAGGUAGUUGUAGGUAAUAUAAUGUAGGUAGGGGUACCAGGUAGUAGAGGUAAUAUAAUGUAGGUAGGGGUACCAGGGGUACCAGGUAGUUGAGGUAAUAUGUACAUGUAGGUAGGGGUACCAGGUAGUAGAGGUAAUAUAAUGUAGGUAGGGGUACCAGGUAGUUGUAGGUAAUAUAAUGUAGGUAGGGGUACCAGGUAGUAGAGGUAAUAUAAUGUAGGUAAGGGUACCAGGUAGUAGAGGUAAUAUAAUGUAGGUAGGGGUACCAGGUAGUUGAGGUAAUAUAAUGUAGGUAGGGGUACCAGGUAGUUGAGGUAAUAUAAUGUAGGUAGGGGUACCAGGUAGUUGUAGGUAAUAUAAUGUAGGUAGGGGUACCAGGUAGUAGAGGUAAUAUAAUGUAGGUAGGGGUACCAGGUAGUAGAGGUAAUAUAAUGUAGGUAGGGGUAAAGUGUGUAGACCCCUGUAGAGACGGGAGCUAAUGUAUGACACACACAAAGGCAGACACGCAUACACACACACACACACACACACACACACACACACACACACACACACACACACACACACACACACACAGUACAAUGCAGUGGAAGGAAGCUAGGUCACCAACAGUACAAUGCAGUGGAAGGAAGCUAUGACUCACAGUCAGGGUUGGAGAAUAACUGAUUAUAUGUAAUAUAUUAUGUAAUCAGUUAUGUCAUAAUGUAUGCACUGAACAAAAACAUAAACACAACAUGUAAAGUGUUGGUCCCAUGUUUCAUGAGCUGAAAUAAAAGAUCCCAAAAAUUUUACAUAAGCACAAAAAAUAUCUUGCACAAAUUUGUUUACAUCCCUGUUAGUGAGCAUUUCUCCUUUGCCAAGAUUAUCCA